AGCGAACGCUGGCGGCAUGCCUAACACAUGCAAGUCGAACGAGACCUUCGGGUCUAGUGGCGCACGGGUGCGUAACGCGUGGGAACCUGCCCUUAGGUUCGGAAUAACUACCCGAAAGGGGUGCUAAUACCGGAUAAUGUCUUCGGACCAAAGAUUUAUCGCCUUUGGAUGGGCCCGCGUUGGAUUAGCUAGUUGGUAGGGUAAAAGCCUACCAAGGCGACGAUCCAUAGCUGGUCUGAGAGGAUGAUCAGCCACACUGGGACUGAGACACGGCCCAGACUCCUACGGGAGGCAGCAGUGGGGAAUAUUGGACAAUGGGCGAAAGCCUGAUCCAGCAAUGCCGCGUGAGUGAUGAAGGCCUUAGGGUUGUAAAGCUCUUUUACCCGGGAUGAUAAUGACAGUACCGGGAGAAUAAGCUCCGGCUAACUCCGUG
rnacentral:rRNA from 1 species